rnacentral:rRNA from 1 species
CCUACGGGAGAGCAGCAGUGAGGAAUAUUGGUCAAUGGCCGGAAGGCUGAACCAGCAAUGCCGCGUGAAGGUCCGUGCCCUAUGGGCGUUAAACUUCUUUUGUGCGGGAGCAAUAAUGGUCACGUGUGGCCAGACGAGAGUACCGUACGCAUAAGCAUCGGCUCACUCCGUGCCAGGCGCCGCGGUAAUACGGGGGAUGCAAGCGUUAUCCGGAUUUAUUGGGUUUAAAGGGUGCGUAGGCUGUGAGGUAAGUCAGCGGGGAAAUGCCCCCGCGCAACGGGGUGAAGUGCCAUUGAUACUGCCUUGCUGGAAUGCGGAUGCCGUGGGAGGAAUGUGUGGUGUAGCGGUGAAAUGCAUAGAUAUCACACAGAACACCGAUUGCGAAGGCAUCUCACGAAUCCGCGAUUGACGCUGAUGCACGAAAGCGUGGGUAUCAAACAGGAUUAGAUACCCCUGUAGUC